rnacentral:rRNA from 1 species
UACGUAGGGGGCAAGCGUUGUUCGGAUUCAUUGGGCGUAAAGGGUGCGUAGGCGGCGCGGUAAGUCGGGUGUGAAAUCUUGGAGCUUAACUCCGAAACUGCAUUCGAUACUGCGGUGCUUGAGGACUGGAGAGGAGACUGGAAUUCAUGGUGUAGCAGUGAAAUGCGUAGAGAUCAUGAGGAAGACCAGUGGCGAAGGCGGGUCUCUGGACAGUUCCUGACACUGAGACACGAAGGCCAGGGGAGCAAACGGG